rnacentral:lncRNA from 1 species
CACAAGGGAGGAGGGACACCCUAGGAUAUGCCCCAAGGGAGUGGGGAUGUGGCCCAAGGAAGAGGGACAGCUUGGAAUGUGUCCUGGGGAGGGGACAACACUCCAGGAUGUGCCCAAGGGAGAUGGGAACACCCUGGGAUGUGCCCCAGGGGAGAGGGAUACCCCACGUACCCCAAGGGAAACGGACACCCACGGAUGGCCCAGGGAGAGGGACAGCCCCAGGUGCCCCGGGCAGGAGGGGCAGCCCCAGGUGUCCCCAGAAGGAGGGACAGCCCCAGGUGCCCCCGGGAGGAGGGGCAGUCCCAGGACAGGUCCCCAGGUCCCUCACCCGGCUCUCCAGGACCCGGCAGUGCCGCUGCGGCGCUCGCUUCCGGCACGUGGUCUGUGCCAGGCCCAGGCGGAGCUGCACGAAGGUCCCCGAAGGGUCCUCCUGCGGGAACGGGGUGCCAGGGUGUGCCAGGGCGUGCCAGGGUGUGCCAGGGCUCCCCAGAGGGACCCCGACCUCUGGAGCGACUCCCAAACCCCACAGACUCCCAGGGAAUACAGCCCCCGGCGAGACCCCAAACCCCAGGAGCGACCCAAGCGCCCCCAGAGCGACCCCAAUUGCUGGGGGAGACCCCGACCCCACAGAUGCCAACCCGGAGAGGGACCCCAAAGCUCCCACAGGAACCCCAAAUCCCAGGAGGGACCCUGAACCCUGGGAAGGAUCCUGAAUCCUGGACACCCUCAGGUAAACCCAUCCCAGGAAUGACCCCAGGGUGGCCCCAAGUGGCCCAAAGUGGGGGUCCCUGGAGUCCUGGCCCUUCCCAGAGACGGGAUAGUGUGUAGGGGCACCCCGGGAUGGCCCCGGCUCUGGGGGCACCGGGAUCAGCUCGGAGCCGUUAAUGAAUAACCGAGCUCAGCCCGGCCAGCAGGGCCGGUCCCGGGGCACCCCGGGGCACCCUGGCACCCACCCCCUCCCUGUGGGACACCCGACCCCUCCCCAUUCCUGCGGCCAUCCCG